AGAAUCAACGCUGGCGGCGUGCCUAACACAUGCAAGUCGAACGAGAAAGUGGAGCAAUCCAUGAGUAAAGUGGCGACCGGGUGAGUAACACGUGACUAACCUACCUUCGAGUGGGGGAUAACCUCGGGAAACCGAGGCUAAUACCGCAUAACAUCGCAAGAUCAAAGCAGCAAUGCGCUGGAAGAGGGGGUCGCGGCUGAUUAGCUAGUUGGCGGGUAACGGCCCACCGAAGGCGAAGAUCGGUAU
rnacentral:rRNA from 1 species